rnacentral:rRNA from 1 species
UGGGGAAUUUUGGACAAUGGGGGAAACCCUGAUCCAACCAUCCCGCGUGUGCGAUGAAGGCCUUCGGGUUGUAAAGCACUUUUGGCAGGAAAGAAACGUCGCGGGUUAAUACCCCGCGAAACUGACGGUACCUGCAGAAUAAGCACCGGCUAACUACGUGCCAGCAGCCGCGGUAAUACGUAGGGUGCAAGCGUUAAUCGGAAUUACUGGGCGUAAAGCGUGCGCAGGCGGUUCGGAAAGAAAGAUGUGAAAUCCCAGAGCUUAACUUUGGAACUGCAUUUUUAACUACCGGGCUAGAGUGUGUCAGAGGGAGGUGGAAUUCCGCGUGUAGCAGUGAAAUGCGUAGAUAUGCGGAGGAACACCGAUGGCGAAGGCGGCCUCCUGGGAUAACACUGACGCUCAUGCACGAAAGCGUGGGGAGCAAACAGGAUUAGAUACCCUGGUAGUCCACGCCCUAAACGAUGUCAACUAGCUGUUGGGGCCUUCGGGCCUUGGUAGCGCAGCUAACGCGUGAAGUUGACCGCCUGGGGAGU